UAUUAAAAAGUUUCAUCAAUUUGUAUUGUUAAAAAUUGACAUGGUUAUCGAAAUAACCAAAUAGUUACACAUGUCAUCCCACAUAUACCUUAUGUUGAUGUACAAUGACCAAUUUUUAAUAAUAGAAACGAAUUAAAUUUUUAACA
rfam:Gossypium hirsutum cultivar TM-1 chromosome 13, whole genome shotgun sequence